ensembl:lncRNA
CCCCCUCAGCCACAUGAAAGCAGCCGGGAGCACGCAGCCAUGCGCUGCACUGCUCACCCCCGAGAUCAAAGCCCGCGCCGGGGGCCGGAGCAUGUGAGGGGCAGGUGUCCAUCCCCCCACGGGCCACCAUUCAUCACACGCUGCGUCCCACAAGGAGAUCAAACCCGGCCUCCCGCGGCUGUUGGUUAAAGCCCGCCUUCCAGUUACCCUAAUUAAAGUUUUCUCCCGGCUGACUGCCGUCCCGUGAGCGCUUCUUUCACUCCCCGAAACAAAGGCUGCAGUGAGGAGCCCUCAUCCGAUGCCAGGGCCGCUCCGUUCACCUCCUUUUGAACUGGGACACUCCGCUGGAAAGUGGCGUUUCCAAUCUGGGAGAAGCCAUGGAGCCCCGUGCAGGGCUGGCAUCGUGCUGAGGGCAUCGAGGGAAGGAUUUUCCCCAGCCAAGAUCUGCUCUGGGACACUUCAGGGCUUUGCAAAGGAAAUCCGAGCAAGAACCUAACCGCUUCAGCACCCAAAACCAGGAGUCUAAAUGCAAGCUCUGUGCAAGCCACAUGGUGAAGAAGUAAGGUUUGCACCAAAGCCCGUGCCCUGGGGCUGGGCUCUGCAGGAACCCAGCAGAACCCAGCCAGCAGAACCCAGCAGACGUGUUCUGGUCUUGGCCCUGCAUUACAAAUAACAGCUGCAAAGUUUGUUCCCCACAGCACGCAGAGGGAAGCAGGCAGAUAAAGGUCUGCACGACCCGCUGCUGGGGGAGAUGGUAUCUAAAUAGGAUUUUUGUUUAAAACCCAAGAUAAUAGCGAUAACGCUAAUAAUAAUAAUAAUCCUAAUAAUCCCUCUUUUCAGGUUACGUCAAAGCCCAAAUCUUAUCCUAAAGAAGAAAAUUAUUCUAAGCCUCAGAGAAUGCAUUGAAAAUUAAUAUUGAUUAUUAGGAAUAAUCAUCCUACAAGGAAUGGCACUGCAGUGCCUGGGGAGGGGGUUCCUCCAGGGCCGGGCAAUAAUCACACUACUCCUAUUGAGCUGUGCCCAGAGUGAGUUAACCCCCUCUGUGCCAGCUGUGCCCGAGGUGCUGCAGUGCCUGGUUCACAGCCCCACACAAUGCACUGCUAUGCCACUUAGUGCCACACAAAGCAACGCUGAAAGGGCUUUCAGAACUCACCAUGUUGAGGCAGAAGUCUAUGGAAGAUGUUUAAUACUAAUUCUAUUAGGCAUCUGAGUUAAUGAAUCACAACUGUAAGAAAUCAUGAUAAUCCAGCAGGCAUUAGUGACAGAUUAGCUUCAAAGCUACCAUAAAAGUGCCAUAAUGCUUACCUAGCAGCGUGAUUAAUGCCGGCAAUACAUAAUGUCAUUAUGAGGAAUGGAGCGGCGUGGCGGCAGCUGACAGCCCCUUUGCUCUGGCCAUGGCCAAAGCAGUGCAGUGCUGAUGGAUCCCCACAGGAUGGGUGUUGCUGGGGUGCUGAGCUCACAGCCAGAACGUCCUCCUAAGCUGGGAUGCAACCAGAGCUCAGGACCCAUUGCUCCCAAGGAUCCCAGUAGGAGCUCCUUGCCCAGCCCAUGGACACCAAGGCACAGCACCACGCAUGACAGCAGAGGCCCAGUGGGUGUCCUGUCUUCCUGGAAUUUGUUGGCUAUCUAAUGAGAAGCAGCCUGGUGAACGAUGUUAAUGGAUAAAGGCACCUCAUGUGGGGGGCCACACUGAGUGAUACGAAGCGGAGCCACCUGACAGCAGCCUGAUGGGAGUGAUAGUGCAGAGGGCAGGAAGCAACAUGAAGAGCCACCCCGGGACUUGCAGGGCUCUCCAAGCAGACGGAACAGAGGGAGAGGUGCACAAAGAGCCCGGUGUGCUGCCCCAAAGGCCCUUCUGUGUUCCUUGAAAACCUGUUAUGCUUCUUGUUGGGGCUGGGGAGGGGAAUCGGGGUCAGAGGUGCUCCUGGGGCGUGGGGUUGGGGAUGCUCCCUGGGGUCUGGGUGAGGAAAGGGGAAGGCACACAGACGGGGCGAGGAAAGAAGGGAAAGGGAAGGAGAGCGGCGUGCGUGCGUGUGACUGCGGGGAGAAACAGGAUUCAUGGUAAUUUCCUGCCAGAUGCCUGAACUCCUCCAGCAUGCAGACAUUUCACAUGUGAAAUAUCAAAGCGUUCCCAAUAACAAAUGUACUUCCUGCAGCUCCUCAGAUCUGCCUCCGUGCCAGCAAGGGAGCCGGGCAGGGAACGCCGCUGCAGUGCUGGGGGUGCCGGGCUCAGCAAAAGGCUAUC